UGAUAACUCGAGAAUACCUUCCUACAUGCAUGGUUUAGUUAAACCAAGUUAAGAUCUAGCACCAACCAAGUUAAUACCUAGCAGUAGCAGCCAGUAAGUUUCGCUGUGCCUAAGCUUUGCGCGACCGAGUGCAAACUUGCCGUUUUUUUUUUUUUUUUUUCCCAGUGUUAUCUGGUAAACUUGCACAGAACUGCCAGUUAGUAUUUCAUAAUAUAUCUUUUCUAUAUGAACAUAUUUGGUGCCCCUGUCUAUCUUGCCCCAUGUAUUGAAGCUGGGGCAUUUGCCAUUGCUUCAUCCUGAACCCUCCCCAAUGUUGUGACCAUUCUCCCAGUCAAUUUCUUUUCUUUUCUUGAGCAAGACUGAUCUCUACUGCUCCCACUGUCUUUUGCUGCCAGCUCUUCAAUGGCACCCCUUUCUGUAUUUGGAGCCUCGGUAAUGGCCAGUGAUGCAAAUGGCCUGGCGAGAGAGAGACCCCAAGACACGCAUCCAGCAUGCUCAUACAGCACUUGAGAAGAAUCCGGAGUGUGUGACAGCCUACAUCUUGCUGGCUGAAGAAGAGGCUCCAAGUGUGUUAGAGGUAUGUGUUGUGCCAUAUUGUUUGUUGCUGUGGCAGUGGCCAUCGGAAGUGCGCAGUUUUUUGGAGAAUCAUGGAUUCCUAGGCUGCCACGUGCAAACCAAUGUCACCAUAGACAUUGUAUACAAACUUACUGGAGGGGAAUCUUACACAGCAAUAGUUAAACCAUUGUUAACACUCAUUGCAUUGCAGAUCUAGUUCUUGAGCUCUGUGAGUUUUGUUUGCUUCUAUAUGACUCCCCAUGCAGUUGUAGUAUGGUUACGUUUCACUGCUGUCAUUAUACCAUGCAGAAUUGUAGGAGGAUGCUGAGUUCACCAACUUUUGCAUGUCACAGCCUCAUAGUAAAAAGUGCAGUGCUGGUGCAGAUAUUUUAAUUUCUCCUGUCGUUCAUUUCUUGUUAAUGUUAAAGGUCGUAAUGCUCUAGUGGUGCUGCUAGUUGGUAGCAAAAGCAGUCAUUUAGGCUUUAGAAAUGUAAUUCACCAGCGAACAUGUGUAGCCUGACAUCUCUAAAAUUAUUUUAUUUAUUUAUUUUAUUUAUUUAUUUGAAGUACUGCAAGCCAAUGAUAUGGCUCGAGCUGGAGGGGCAUCAUAUAAAAUACAAAAGUACAGUAUCAAACAACGCAAGUGAUGAACACAAGAAAUAGUAUGUAUCGUAAAGAAAAUUACAAUUUGUGUCAUGAAAAUUGUUUAACAAAUGUGGUCAUAAAAAGGGGAAAACUCGAUACACAUGUAGUAGAAAUGCCUAACAAAAUAACCAGAAGCAUAAAAUAAGUAGUGAGGUCAGAAAUUCAAAACAUAGCGCUGCAUUUCAUUAACAAAAUCACCAGAGGUAAAUAUGUUGGCUGGCAAAGAAUUCCACUCUGCAACUGUGCGUGGGAAGAAACUAUAUCGA